CAUUAUGAGAGUUUGAUCCUGGCUCAGGACGAACGCUGGCGGCGUGCCUAAUACAUGCAAGUCGAACGCUUUUUCUUUCACCGGAGCUUGCUCCAUCGAAAGAAAAAGAGUGGCGAACGGGUGAGUAACACGUGGGUAACCUGCCCAUCAGAAGGGGAUAACACUUGGAAACA
rnacentral:rRNA from 1 species